rnacentral:rRNA from 1 species
GUGCCAGCCGCCGCGGUAAUACGUAGGGGGCAAGCGUUGUCCGGAUUCAUUGGGCGUAAAGCGCGUGUAGGCGGCCAGAUAAGUCCGCUGUGAAAACUCGAGGCUCAACCUCGAGAUGUCGGCGGAAACUAUCUGGCUAGAGUCCGGAAGAGGAGAGUGGAAUUCCUGGUGUAGCGGUGAAAUGCGCAGAUAUCAGGAGGAACACCCGUGGCGAAAGCGGCUCUCUGGGACGGUACUGACGCUGAGACGCGAAAGCGUGGGGAGCAAACAGGAUUAGAUACCCCGGUAGUCC